rnacentral:rRNA from 1 species
UACGUAGGGUGCGAGCGUUAAUCGGAAUUACUGGGCGUAAAGCGUGCGCAGGCGGUUUUGUAAGCCAGAUGUGAAAUCCCCGGGCUUAACCUGGGAAUGGCAUUUGGGACUGCAAGGCUUGAGCGCGGCAGAGGAGACUGGAAUUCCUGGUGUAGCAGUGAAAUGCGUAGAUAUCAGGAGGAACACCGAUGGCGAAGGCAGCCCCCUGGGUCAAGAUUGACGCCUCAUGCACGAAAGCGUGGGGAGCGAACAGG